rnacentral:tRNA from 1 species
ACCUGUCUGGCUCAAUCAGUAGAGCAUGUGACUCUUGAUCUCAGGGUUUUAAGUUCGAGCCCCAUGUUGGGUA